rnacentral:pre_miRNA from 1 species
AAGAAAAAAGCGGACGCUAUAAAGAGAGCUAUCCAUCGACAGUAUGGUGAUAGAUGACACUGUCAUGGACUUGCUCUCUUUGUGGACGUCGCUUAAUACAACG